rnacentral:rRNA from 1 species
GAACGCUGGCGGCGUGCCUAACACAUGCAAGUCGAACGGGAACCCUUGGAUUCGUCUGGGGGGGAGAGUGGCGGACGGGUGAGUAACACGUAGGUGACCUGCCCCAAAGCGGGGAAUAACCAUUGGAAACGGUGGCUAAUACCCCAUGUGCUCGAUAGUUCAAUCUGUCGAGUAAAGCUCCGGCGCUUUGGGAUGGGCCUGCGGCCCAUCAGGUAGUUGGUAGGGUAAUGGCCUACCAAGCCAAUGACGGGUAGGGGGCGUGAGAGCGUGAUCCCCCACACUGGCACUGAGAUACGGGCCAGACUCCUACGGGAGGCAGCAGUGAGGAAUAUUGCCCAAUGGACGAAAGUCUGAGGCAGCAACGCCGCGUGAGCGAUGAAGGCCUUCGGGUUGUAAAGCUCUUUUCUGGGGGACGAGGAAGGACGGUACCUCAGGAAUAAGUCACGGCUAACUACGUGCCAGCAGCCGCGGUAAUACGUAGGUGGCGAGCGUUAUCCGGAUUUACUGGGCGUAAAGCGCGUGUAGGCGGUUUCGUAAGUCGGAUGUGAAAGCUCCUGGCUCAACUGGGAGAGGCCAUUCGAUACUGCGGGACUUGAGGACGGGAGAGGGACGUGGAAUUCCCGGUGUAGUGGUGGAAUGCGUAGAUAUCGGGAGGAACACCAGUGGCGAA